CUGUACAUGACAAUUAAGUUGAGAAAUAAAUAAGGCGUGGCCGCCGGCGACGUCCCACUCCUACGUCUGCGACGUACUGACGUCGUUUCGGGGCGGGGCUAAGGCUUGCAGUCCUACGAGCUCGAUGAUGUCCAUUUUGUGAGAGCUGUGGAAGCCGAGCCGAGCCGAGCCGAGCCUCGUCCCCGCGAACAGGCGGAAACCAGUAACGACAUAUUAACCUGGACAUACAAACUUCGUGGUAAUACUCAACAACCAUGGGCUCCUCUAUUGAACUGAGUGAGGAUCUGAAAAUGAAGCUCAUUAAUGCCUACAAAGCAGGGAAAGGCUAUAAAAAGAUAUCAAAGUGCUUUGGGUUCUCGAUUUCCACUAUCCGGAAUGUCAUUAAGAAAUGGAAAGUAAGGGGAACUGUGGAAGUCAAGCCAAGAUCUGGAAGACCGAGAAAAAUUUCAGAUAAAACUGCACGUCUUCUGGUCAGAAAGGUAACGCAAAACCCUCAUAUGACUGCAAAGGACCUGCAGGAAGGUUUAGCUGACACAGGAGUGAUGGUGCAUCCCGCCACUGUGCAGCGUUGCUUGAACAAACACGGUCUGCAUAGACGGGUCAGAAGGAAGCCUGAGGAGGAGACCUCACCAGACAAGUCAACAUCUGAAGUCUGCAAAGCAACAUCAGGAUAAGAGUUAUUUUGGAAACGAGCGCUGUGGACAGAUGAAGUUAAAAUUGAGCUCUUCUGAGGUCAUCUGGUCCGACGAUGUAGUGUUAAGACAUGAGGCAGAGGAUCUACCCAUCACUGAACACUGUAAAACAAUUGAACUGUAAAUUCCUUAUGAUUAACCCUCUCGUGGUUAUGCAUAACUAAAAAGUUAGUUUUGGUGACAACAAUAUGAGUAACACCAAGUAAAAAAAAAA